GCUUUAGAAUACUUCUAUAUUAAGAGAAAUAGUUCAUCAAUAUACUCAUUUAUUAGUAAAACAAUAAACCCUUUAUUUUCUCAAAUGACCUAGGACUUGGUUUUGUAAUAAUUGUUGGUUAUUGUGUGAUCUCAUUAGAUUAAGACAGGUUUUUACACUGGGGAUAGAGGGAUGCGAAGAUAAUUGCAAACAGAAGCACAAUUGGAAAACGGGGUUAAUUGGGGAUUUAUAUUGUACUCUGUCUGUACAGUUGCCCUUUUUUUUAGGAGUGUUUCCUGGAAAAGAGGGGGAGAUGAACCUGGAAGUAAGUAAAGUCAUUCUAGGUGUGUAGCAUCAAGGCAGUUGGUAUCCCAAGUAUCAGCUAACGUUUCUCUUUUAUACAUCCACAAUGCAUGGCCUGCACCAAGUAAGGAACUGAACCAGGGGUGUGUUUUUACCUCUAGAGCUGCCUCCUUCCAUCAGAGCACCUUGUUGAACUUAAUGUCUAGUUCACAUGUCAUUGACAUGUUUUCUCCCCAACAUGUAAUUACAAAGCUGGGAAACAAAAUGUUGCUCACUGUACUGUAAAAACACAAUGUCACGCACCAGUAGAGGGGAAACUGUGUGCUUGCUGAGCUACAUUUGACUCUGACGCUGUAGUGACUUGAUAGAUACUUGGCAGAGAGCAUUAACCUAAAAUGCUGUAAUGAUUGGAAAUAAAACAUGGUUCAGAGAUGUUUCAAUUAGAAAGAAACAAAACCAAACACACAUAAGUCAACAGCAGAAUUCAUCACUGGUAGAGAUUGUGCAUUGAUAGUUUUUGAAAAAAGGCACUGGACAUUUCUUAACCGGAGGUCACGGACUGCUGGCCGUGCUAGUUAGUGCGCACAGCUGUGCAGCUUAGGACAUUAAGUGGUUUGCUGCUUUGAUGGAAAUUAUGGUUCAGUGGGUUGGAUACAAGAGAGAUGAUUGUUCACAGAAUAACCUGUGAACUUUCACCCCUCUGUAUGGAAACUUGUUUCAGGGCCAAAUCCUUGUAGCUGUCUUCUUGCCCCGGUCAGUGCCAGCCGUACUAUUCACAACACUGCUGCUACCGAGGCCUAGGUAUGUAAACAUUUAAGGAGUUUCUUAAAAGCCUUUUAACAUCAAGCCAGGUUUUAGAAGAAUUCAGACUUGGUGUACUUACAGGGUAUUUUAUGUGCUUAUCUUCAACUUAUUUACAUGUAAAUUGAUUUUGUUUCAUAGGAGUUUUCUAAGUAAAGAUAUUGAUACUUGCCUUAUUAUAGAAUGGGGAAGAAAACUGGAUGUCAACUGUAUGCUUCUUCAGUGUCCAAACUAUUUUAAAACAAUGUCUAGGCUUUAUUCAUAAACUAGGUAUAUCUGAGAUAAUAUAUUGACUGUUUUAACAUUGCCUUCUUUUUAUUUUGCAAGCUAAGAAGAGAUACCAGUGAACCUAAAUAGUGGACGAAAACAGGAGUGCUCUUGUUGUUGUUGUUGUUUUUGGAGGGGGGCAUCGAGGGGCUACUGUUACAAUUGCCAUUUGACUUGCAAAGUGUUGGUAAUUAUUAUUAGAACAUAUGCUGCAGAACAUAUUGAGUAUAGAAGAACUUAAGUUGAAUGCUAUUACAGAUCUAGACGUAAGAUUUCUUUUUCUUAAGUUAUCAUUAACUCUGUAUUUUACUUCUAACUGUAAAAUGGGGGCAUUUUACCUUUUUUUCCCUUUGGAUAGGAUCAGUUCUUAAGAGCAGCCCCAGUAACUGGAGGAAUGGGAGCUGUGUUGAUGAGAAAAAUGGGCUGGAGAGAAGGAGAAGGACUAGGAAAGAACAAAGAAGGAAAUAAGGAACCCAUCCUUGUUGACUUUAAGACAGACCGAAAAGGUCUUGUUGCAGUAGGAGAGAGAGCACAAAAGAGGUCUGGGAACUUCUCCGCUGCAAUGAAAGACUUGUCAGGCAAACAUCCUGUGUCUGCCUUGAUGGAAAUCUGUAAUAAGAGAAGGUGGCAACCACCUGAAUUUCUCUUGGUCCAUGACAGUGGCCCUGACCAUCGCAAACACUUCCUCUUUAGGGUAUUGAUAAAUGGAAGCGCUUACCAGCCCAGCUUUGCCAGCCCUAAUAAGAAGCAUGCUAAAGCCACAGCAGCUACUGUGGUUCUUCAAGCAAUGGGCCUUGUACCAAAGGACCUCAUGGCUAAUGCCACUUGCUUCAGGAGUGCCUCACGUAGAUAGAUUGAGGUUUUAUAUUAAUCAUUUCAGAUAAUUUUACUCUGCAUCACAAUGUAUUUCCUCCUUAAUGUUGUAAAUAUUUCACAAUUUAAGACAUUGUGUAAAAAGCAAUCUGUACAAACAUCUCCAGGCUUUGGUUUUGUACCAUGGAAAUUGUAUUUAACCACACAGGGUUUUGGUAUGUUUAUAUUGUUUACCUUAGUGAUGUAUU
rnacentral:lncRNA from 1 species